rnacentral:rRNA from 1 species
UACGUAGGUGGUAAGCGUUGUUCGGAAUUAUUGGGCGUAAAGCGCGCGCAGGUGGUUUCUUAAGUCUGAUGUGAAAUCCCUCGGCUCAACCGGGGAACUGCAUUUGAAACUGUUCGGCUCGAGUCCGGGAGAGGGUAGUGGAAUUCCCAGUGUAGCGGUGAAAUGCGUAGAUAUUGGGAGGAACACCGGUGGCGAAGGCGGCUACCUGGACCGGUACUGACGCUGAGGCGCGAAAGCUAGGGUAGCAAACAGG